AAAGUCGUAACAAGGUUUCCGUAGGUGAACCUGCGGAAGGAUCAUUAACACGUAUCCAACGUUAAAACAACCCUGUGAACCUUUAGCGUGCUCUUACCGCUCAUGCGCAGCAAUCCCUGGUAAAUCAUUGUUGACCAGUUUUGAGUCAGGGACCUCUGCCAUAUGAGUUUUAAUCGAGUGCUAGUAUCAAGUGAUCUGGCACCCCCAAGCAUUGGAGUUAGGGACCGAUGUGCAAGGGUGGCGCAGCAAACGAUCGUUAUAGGUCCACACGGCCGACGACCGGGUCACUGGGCUCACGCCCCUUUGUUUACCCCAAUGUCUUAAACCGGGUACAGCUGAAAUGCUGUACCACAAAACGAACAACUGUUAACAAUGGAUAUCUUGGUUCUC
rnacentral:misc_RNA from 1 species